CUACGGGUUGCAGCAGUAAGGAAUAUUGGUCAAUGGGCGGAAGCCUGAACCAGCCAUGCCGCGUGCAGGAAGACGGCCCUACGGGUUGUAAACUGCUUUUGUACCGGAAUAAACCUUGAUAUGUAUAUCGAGCUGAAUGUACGGUAAGAAUAAGGAUCGGCUAACUCCGUGCCAGCAGCCGCGGUAAUACGGAGGAUCCGAGCGUUAUCCGGAUUUAUUGGGUUUAAAGGGUGCGUAGGUGGCCUGUUAAGUCAGGGGUGAAAGACGGUAGCUCAACUAUCGCAGUGCCCUUGAUACUGAUGGGCUUGAAUGAACUAGAGGUAGGCGGAAUGUGACAAGUAGCGGUGAAAUGCAUAGAUAUGUCACAGAACGCCAAUUGCGAAGGCAGCUUACUAUGGUUUUAUUGACACUGAGGCACGAAAGCGUGGGGAUCAAACAGGAUUAGAUACCCUCGUAGUC
rnacentral:rRNA from 1 species